UGAUAAUCAAGUAGCAGCGGGUAGUGUGCCUAUACUAACAAUUAGAUUAUUUCAGCAGGGCAAUGUCGCCUACAUAACCUGUUGAAUCACUGAGACACCAAUUAUUGUGCAGCAUACUGGAAGCCCUAUCAACCUGAAUAAAACCACAAACCACAACAGAUGCUGAGCAGAUCCCAGUACUUGUUACUGUACCUCAGUGGCAGGCAGCUCAUUGCAACUCUCUCUCUGGGCUCUCUUUGGGUCACAGUGAAUCAACAUCCACUGGAGUUCAAACUGAAAAGAGAUGUUAAUGUUACUGCAAAUUCAACACUAUGUAUUAAUUUUACGAUGUGACAUUAACAAAGAUUCUUGAAAUGCUUCAUCAUGGUACAGUUAUUUCUUUGUAGUUUUAAUAAAUGCCCUCUCUGGGCUGUUGAGCUUC